CGUAGGGUGCAAGCGUUAAUCGGAAUUACUGGGCGUAAAGCAUGCGCAGGCGGCUUUGCAAGACAGAUGUGAAAUCCCCGGGCUCAACCUGGGAACUGCAUUUGUGACUGCAUGGCUGGAGUGCGGCAGAGGGGGAUGGAAUUCCGCGUGUAGCAGUGAAAUGCGUAGAUAUGCGGAGGAACACCGAUGGCGAAGGCAAUCCCCUGGGCCUGCACUGACGCUCAUGCACGAAAGCGUGGGGAGCAAACAGGAUUAGAUACCCUGGUAGUCCACGCCCUAAACGAUGUCAACUGGUUGUUGGACGGCUUGCUGUUCAAUAACGAAGCUAACGCGUGAAGUUAACCACCUAAAAAAUACGGCCGCAAGGUUG
rnacentral:rRNA from 1 species